rnacentral:rRNA from 1 species
AGAGUUUGAUCAUGGCUCAGAUUGAACGCUGGCGGCAGGCCUAACACAUGCAAGUCGAACGGUAACAGGAAACAGCUUGCUGUUUCGCUGACGAGUGGCGGACGGGUGAGUAAUGUCUGGGAAACUGCCUGAUGGAGGGGGAUAACUACUGGAAACGGUAGCUAAUACCGCAUAACGUCGCAAGACCAAAGAGGGGGACCUUCGGGCCUCUUGCCAUCAGAUGUGCCCAGAUGGGAUUAGCUAGUAGGUGGGGUAACGGCUCACCUAGGCGACGAUCCCUAGCUGGUCUGAGAGGAUGACCAGCCACACUGGAACUGAGACACGGUCCAGACUCCUACGGGAGGCAGCAGUGGGGAAUAUUGCACAAUGGGCGCAAGCCUGAUGCAGCCAUGCCGCGUGUAUGAAGAAGGCCUUCGGGUUGUAAAGUACUUUCAGCGGGGAGGAAGGGAGUAAAGUUAAUACCUUUGCUCAUUGACGUUACCCGCAGAAGAAGCACCGGCUAACUCCGUGCCAGCAGCCGCGGUAAUACGGAGGGUGCAAGCGUUAAUCGGAAUUACUGGGCGUAAAGCGCACGCAGGCGGUUUGUUAAGUCAGAUGUGAAAUCCCCGGGCUCAACCUGGGAACUGCUUCUGAUACUGGCAAGCUUGAGUCUCGUAGAGGGGGGUAGAAUUCCAGGUGUAGCGGUGAAAUGCGUAGAGAUCUGGAGGAAUACCGGUGGCGAAGGCGGCCCCCUGGACGAAGACUGACGCUCAGGUGCGAAAGCGUGGGGAGCAAACAGGAUUAGAUACCCUGGUAGUCCACGCCGUAAACGAUGUCGACUUGGAGGUUGUGCCCUUGAGGCGUGGCUUCCGGAGCUAACGCGUUAAGUCGACCGCCUGGGGAGUACGGCCGCAAGGUUAAAACUCAAAUGAAUUGACGGGGGCCCGCACAAGCGGUGGAGCAUGUGGUUUAAUUCGAUGCAACGCGAAGAACCUUACCUGGUCUUGACAUCCACGGAAGUUUUCAGAGAUGAGAAUGUGCCUUCGGGAACCGUGAGACAGGUGCUGCAUGGCUGUCGUCAGCUCGUGUUGUGAAAUGUUGGGUUAAGUCCCGCAACGAGCGCAACCCUUAUCCUUUGUUGCCAGCGGUCCGGCCGGGAACUCAAAGGAGACUGCCAGUGAUAAACUGGAGGAAGGUGGGGAUGACGUCAAGUCAUCAUGGCCCUUACGACCAGGGCUACACACGUGCUACAAUGGCGCAUACAAAGAGAAGCGACCUCGCGAGAGCAAGCGGACCUCAUAAAGUGCGUCGUAGUCCGGAUUGGAGUCUGCAACUCGACUCCAUGAAGUCGGAAUCGCUAGUAAUCGUGGAUCAGAAUGCCACGGUGAAUACGUUCCCGGGCCUUGUACACACCGCCCGUCACACCAUGGGAGUGGGUUGCAAAAGAAGUAGGUAGCUUAACCUUCGGGAGGGCGCUUACCACUUUGUGAUUCAUGACUGGGGUGAAGUCGUAACAAGGUAACCGUAGGGGAACCUGCGGUUG